CCUACGGGGGGCAGCAGUGGGGAAUAUUGGGCAAUGGAGGCAACUCUUACCCAGCAAUGCCGCGUGAAUGAAGAAGGUCUUCGGAUUGUAAAGUUCUUUAAUUGGGGACGAAAAAAAUGACGGUACCUAAGGAAUAAGCCCCGGCUAACUACGUGCCAGCAGCCGCGGUAAUACGUAGGGGGCAAGCGUUGUUCGGAAUGACUGGGCGUAAAGGGUGCGUAGGCGGUGUAGCAAGUUAGAAGUGAAAUACCUAGGGCUUAACUUAGAUGCUACUACUAAAACUGUUAGACUUGAGUGCAGUAGAGGAAAGUGGAAUUCCUAGUGUAGCGGUGGAAUGCGUAGAUAUUAGGAGGAACACCAGUGGCGAAGGCGACUUGCUGGACUGUAACUGACGCUGAGGCACGAAAGUGUGGGGAGCAAACAGGAUUAGAUACCCGAGUAGUC
rnacentral:rRNA from 1 species